rnacentral:rRNA from 1 species
GAAAAGAAACCAACAGGGAUUGCCCUAGUAACGGCGAGUGAAGCGGCAACAGCUCAAAUUUGAAAUCUGGCUCUCGGGCCCGAGUUGUAAUUUGUAGAGGAUGCUUUUGAUGCGGUGCCUUCCGAGUUCCCUGGAACGGGACGCCAUAGAGGGUGAGAGCCCCGUCUGGUUGGAUGCCAAAUCUCUGUAAAGCUCCUUCGACGAGUCGAGUAGUUUGGGAAUGCUGCUCUAAAUGGGAGGUAUAUGUCUUCUAAAGCUAAAUACCGGCCAGAGACCGAUAGCGCACAAGUAGAGUGAUCGAAAGAUGAAAAGCACUUUGAAAAGAGAGUUAAAAAGUACGUGAAAUUGUUGAAAGGGAAGCGUUUAUGACCAGACUUGGGCUUGGUUAAUCAUCUGGGGUUCUCCCCAGUGCACUUUUCCAGUCCAGGCCAGCAUCAGUUUUCGCCGGGGGAUAAAGGCUUCGGGAAUGUGGCUCUCUCCGGGGAGUGUUAUAGCCCGUUGCGUAAUACCCUGGCGGGGACUGAGGUUCGCGCAUCUGCAAGGAUGCUGGCGUAAUGGUCAUCAACGACCCGUCUUGAAACACGGACCAAGGAGUCGUCUUCGUAUGCGAGUGUUCGGGUGUCAAACCCCUACGCGUAAUGAAAGUGAACGCAGGUGAGAGCUUCGGCGCAUCAUCGACCGAUCCUGAUGUUCUCGGAUGGAUUUGAGUAAGAGCAUACGGGGCCGGACCCGAAAGAAGGUGAACUAUGCCUGUGUAGGGUGAAGCCAGAGGAAACUCUGGUGGAGGCUCGCAGCGGUUCUGACGUGCAAAUCGAUCGUCAAACAUGGGCAUGGGGGCGAAAGACUAAUCGA